rnacentral:rRNA from 1 species
AUUGAACGCUGGCGGCAGGCCUAACACAUGCAAGUCGAGCGAGCGGCGGACGGGUGAGUAAUGUCUGGGAAACUGCCUGAUGGAGGGGGAUAACUACUGAAAACGGUAGCUAAUACCGCAUACCAUCAGAUGUGCCCAGAUGGGAUUAGCUAGUGGGUGGGGUAACGGCUCACCUAGGCGACGAUCCCUUGCUGGUCUGAGAGGAUGAACAGCCACACUGUAACUGAGACACGGUCAAGACUCCUACGGGACGCAGCAGUGGGGAAUAUUGAACAAUGGGCGCAAUCCUGAUACAGCCAUGCCACGUGUGUGAAGAAGGCCUUCGGGUUGUAAAGCACGUUCAGCGGGGAGGCGUUGCCCUCAGAAGAAGCACCGGCUAACUCCGUGCCAGCAGCCGCGGUAAUUC